GUCUCCUCCUGGUAGAGAAACAGUGUUGAACAGAUAGUUGAGUCUCUCCAUGACUCUGUCCCUCAGAAACAUGUUUCCACAUUCAUGGAUUAAAUGUGUUUCUUUGUGAAAUCCUUGUAAAUGAUUCCUUGUAAACUUGUUCCUCUUCAAAGAUGGAAGUUGUGAUUAUUCCAGGAGCCAAAUGUGGUGUUUGCGUCUUUUUCCGGUCAAAUGUUGAGAGUGAAAAUCAGGAUGUGGUGUUUCCUCUGAUGCUCACUUGAACUAAAAGCAUUUGAGCUGUCUUAUUGAUUGAGACAAUUCAAUUCUAUAAAUGUUAUUCUUGGCCAUUGAAGGAGGUUUUCUGCACAUUUUGGUGUAUUUUAACCCUUCGAUGGUCUAAAUUCUUUGAAUAGACCUUGUGCUGUAAUCAAUGUCUAACUUAGUUUUUAUUUUCAUUGCAGUGGUUGAUUUUUCCUGAACAAGAUCAAUGAUUUUUUAAUACGUCUUUCUCCUAUUUUCUUUGGUCUACCUGUGGGUUUUAAACUAUUAUAACUUUCUUUUUUAUUCAAUAAAUUACUAAUAACACACUUUGAUCUUCUUAUUUGUUGAUAAGUGGAAUAUAAUUUUCCGUGUUGAAUAAUCACAGCUUUUUCUUCUUCAGACAAGGUUUAUCCUCUUCCAUGGCAACAAUUAAUUGUAGAAAUGAAAAUAGAAAAAAUAUCUUUUGUAAAGCAGUAAAACUAAUGUUUUUAUUUUUGUUCUUAUCUUUCUGUCACCAUUUUUGAUUGUAUUUAAUUAAAUUAAGCCUUAAAAAUGUAUAAAUAUAAAGAACUAUAAAGACUAGAACAAAAACUACAUAUUUUUAGUAGUGAAAAGACUCAGAAACAAAACUUGAAAAUAUAUGAUAUUCUGUAUUUUAAUUUAUAUCUGUUCUUAUUAUUACAGUCAGUGACCGAGUAAAACGUGAACAAUAUAAAGUUAUGAACUUUAACUUCUGUCAAACUGAUUUUUCUCUGAACAAUCAAAAAUAAAGUGUGAUUCCAAAGUGUGACGGUUAGAUCAACAUAAACUACUAAUAUCCUGUUUAACUGCUAUAGAACCAUCAGAGCAGCAGAUUCUAAAGUCUGGUCCAGAUAAGGAGCUCUACAGUGAGGCUGACCGUCCAUCAUAGCUGUCUAACCUGGACGCUCACAUCUCUGGAACUGUUGGAGCUCAUUUUUAAUCAGGUUCAUCUGGAUAAACUCACCACAGAUUUGAUGUUUUUAGAACGACUUUCUCACCUGAAAUCAUCUGAAAACUACAUUUUGUGUCACAAUAACAGUAGUAUUCCCAAAAUACUUGUGUUUCCUCUGAAAGUUUCCUCCUGGGUCUUUGCUGCUGGUCUAAAUGCAUUGUGGGUUAUUUGGCUCCAAGUCCACACCAGUCUGGUCUGAUGAUCCUCCAUAAUGUGGGCGGAGCCAGAACACAUCCAGGUAUUUCAUCUGUUCUUGAUCAGAUGCUACUUUGAACUGGAUCAGUACUUGGUCUCUGACUGAUGACGUUUUAGAAGAACACCAGAACUCAAGUACAGACCAGUACGGUCUAGUCCUGAUUGAUGAGCCAAAACACCAGCAGAGCAUUCUGGGAUUUGUAGUAAUAACAGUACAUGUGCUCUAUAAUACCAGCUCUAGUAGUCAUCUGGUUUUGCAUCACGGUCCAAAUAUAAUUACAUUGCAGGCCAGAGUUUGACACCUAUGAUUUAGAGCAUUUUCUUCAUGGUAUAAACCUGACAUUGUGUUGCAGGAGACGCUGCUAUUGGAGAGGCUGUCAUUGGCUUUUUUCUCUCUACAUGCAUGGAAAAGCUGCAGUCAGGGUUUGUGUCUUGUGUCUGUGGCUUCCUCACAAAUGUUGACUUUAUUUUAGGUGACAGGAAAGAUUUUUGAACACCAUGUUUCUAUGAUGUGUUGAUCCAUCACUGUGCUAACAAUGCAGUCUGACAACUAUUCCCUCACAUUCACACCUAGAGGCAGUGAAGACUCACUAAUAUUAACCUGCAUGUUAUUGUGUUGUGGGAGGAAGCCUGUUGUUUAUUGUUUGUGUGUUUUUUAUGUCUUCAGCAGCACACGCCAGCAUUCCAAGGCUUUUUGAAGGAGAUCCUGAGCAUUUAGUCCCCUCAGCCUCUCACUUUGUUGUGGAAAGUGAUGUGUUCCUCAUGCAGGGAGAAUGUUAGGCCACUCCUUUCUUCAUGUGUCUUCAGGACUCAGCCCUGCUGUUGUUCAUGUUCUGCUCCCUGGAAGUCCUGAAACUGCAGCUGCUACACUGGAGGACUGUCCAGACCUGGACAUCAGAGGAACAAUCACACUCUAUGAUCAUUUAAACAAUAACCUGUUUCCUUCCAUGUUCUAUUUAUUCCACAGUGGGGCACCUUUUUAUUCUAUAUCCAGUGUCCUUGAGGGCAAUUUUCUCUCUGUCUCCGCCCUCUUUCAGUCACAUGCUAUUUGAUUUCCUCAUUCAUUCAUUCAUUCAUUCAUUCAUUCAUUCAUUCAUUCAUUCAUUCAUUCAUUCAUUCAGCAGGUGAGUUUUGGCGUAGUCUAGUUCUGCCGUCUAUAAAUGUCAUGUCCUUUUAUUAACGAUCCAGUGGAUGAAGGAGCAGCAUUACUGCACAGAGAAUUAAAUAUUCAUAGAUGUUCUCACAUUUCCUGACAAUUAUCUUUUUGAACGGUACCGUUUCACCUCACAGUCCAUAAUCUACAUCCAACCUAAUCCAUCCUUACAUUUACAACAUCACCAACCUCAGUCAUUCUCUCACAUCCCAGCAGAUGUUGUGUGUUGCACUGCAGUUCUUUGCAAAUGGAAGUUUUUUAUAUAAUGUCAGAGAUGCAGAACACUUCAGUCAGACAACUGUAUGCAGGACGGUCAGAAAAGUGUGUCUGGCCCUGAAAUGACUUUUACCAUCUUUGUGGUUUUCCCUGGAAAUAAACCUGUCAGAGCCAUCAAGGAGGAGUUCCACAGGACUGCAGGUGAAUGAUGUAGAGAUCUGUUCAAUUCAUUUAAAUCAUAUUCUGUUAAUGACAUUGUGCUGCAACCUCAGACUGGGAUUAGUAAUUUUAAUUUCUUUUAGGAUUUCUCAGUGUGAUUGGCUGCAUAGAUGGAACACACAUCCCCAUCACAGCUCCCUCACAUAAUGAAGCUGAUUAUGUGAACAGGAAGUCCAUUCACAGCAUAAAUGUGCAGAUCAUAUGUGAUGCUGCACACAUCAUUUCUAAUGUGGAGGCCAAGUGGUCUGGGUCUGUUCAUGACUGGAGGAUUUAUCAUGAGUCUAACCUGAGCAACAGACUGCAACGUGGUAAACAGCCUAAAGAUUUUCACAAUAUAAUUCACUUGUCUCCCUCCUUUAAUAUACUCUAAUGUAUCCACUAUACAUUACAGGAGAGUUUGAUGGCCUUCUGCUGGGUGACAGGGGUUACCAUGCCAACCCAGGCUGAUGACCUCAUACCCUGACCCUGAACCAGGCCCCCAACAGAACUUCAACCAGGCUCACUGCAGGAUGAGAGCCUGGGUGGAGAUGACCAUAGACCUGCUGAAAGCCUGUUUCCAGUGUCUACAUCACCUCAGGGUGACUCCUGAGAGGCCUGUGAUAUUAUUGUGGCAUGUGUUGUUCUUCAUAAUAUUAGCACUAUUAGAGGAGAGCAACACUCUGCCCUACAAACUGAAGACCCAGAUGAUGACCUCAUCCACCUGCCAGCUGUCCAGGACAGCAGAGCAGUCAGAGACACCAUAUGCAAUAAUCACUGCAGAGUUUAAGUCACCAUCAUCACCACCACACCAAAUAAAGACAUGAUACACAUUUCA